rnacentral:rRNA from 1 species
AAUUAUACCGUGAAACUGCGAAUGGCUCAUUAAAUCAGUUAUCGUUUAUUUGAUAGUACCUUACUACUUGGAUAACCGUGGUAAUUCUAGAGCUAAUACAUGCUGAAAACCCCGACUUCGGGAGGGGUGUAUUUAUUAGAUAAAAAACCAACGCCCUUCGGGGCUUCUUGGUGAUUCAUGAUAACUUCACGGAUCGCAUGGCCUUGCGCCGGCGACGGUUCAUUCAAAUUUCUGCCCUAUCAACUUUCGAUGGUAAGGUAUUGGCUUACCAUGGUUUCAACGGGUAACGGGGAAUUAGGGUUCGAUUCCGGAGAGGGAGCCUGAGAAACGGCUACCACAUCCAAGGAAGGCAGCAGGCGCGCAAAUUACCCAAUCCCGACACGGGGAGGUAGUGACAAUAAAUACUGAUACAGGGCUCUUUUGGGUCUUGUAAUUGGAAUGAGUACAAUUUAAACCUCUUAACGAGGAACAAUUGGAGGGCAAGUCUGGUGCCAGCAGCCGCGGUAAUUCCAGCUCCAAUAGCGUAUAUUAAAGUUGUUGCAGUUAAAAAGCUCGUAGUUGAAACUUGGGCCUGGCUGGCAGGUCCGCCUCACCGCGUGUACUUGUCCGGCCGGGCCUUUCCUUCUGGAGAACCUCAUGCCCUUCACUGGGUGUGCUGGGGAACCAGGACUUUUACUUUGAAAAAAUUAGAGUGUUCAAAGCAGGCCUUUGCUCGAAUACGUUAGCAUGGAAUAAUAGAAUAGGACGUGCGGUCCUAUUUUGUUGGUUUCUAGGACCGCCGUAAUGAUUAAUAGGGACAGUCGGGGGCAUCAGUAUUCAAUUGUCAGAGGUGAAAUUCUUGGAUUUAUUGAAGACUAACUACUGCG